rnacentral:rRNA from 1 species
UUGACCUCGGAUCAGGCAGGGAUACCCGCUGAACUUAAGCAUAUCAAUAAGCGGAGGAAAAGAAACCAACAGGGAUUGCCUCAGUAACGGCGAGUGAAGCGGCAACAGCUCAAAUUUGAAAUCUGGCUCUUUUAGGGUCCGAGUUGUAAUUUGUAGAGGAUGCUUCGGCGUCGGCUCCGGUCUAAGUUCCUUGGAACAGGACGUCAUAGAGGGUGAGAAUCCCGUAUGUGAUCGGUUGCCUUGCCAUGUGAAGCUCCUUCGACGAGUCGAGUUGUUUGGGAUGCAGCUCUAAAUGGGAGGUAAAUUCUUCUAAG